rnacentral:lncRNA from 1 species
GAAGCUCGUCGUUCGCCUAAAAAAUCAUUUUUUUUCUAGGUGGACCACUUAAUUAAGAGGUCCACCUGCAAAAAACAUGCCUACUGAAAAAAAAAUUUAAGUCCUAUCCUUAUCUUCUCCUCCAGCAUCUUAUCCUCUCCACCACUCAUUGCCCUCACUCUCCUCUCUCUCUCUCUCAUUUCCCUCUGGCUACCUCCCCUCCCCUCCCAGAUCUGGCGGAGGGGAGGGGCGUCGGCAGUGGCGCAGGAAGAGGGGGCGGUGGCGGUAGCGUCGGCGUUGGCGCGGCCGGAUGGGAGGUGUGGCUCCCCUCCCUCUCCUCUCCCUCAACUCUACUCUCCUCCGCCGCCGGCCACGAUGACGACGAAGCCGACUGCGACGACGACGCUGUCUGGAUCCGCCGCCGCCUGGAUUCAGGGAGGGGAGGCGGCAGCGCAGCCGGAGGGGGUGUCGGCGGCGGCGCUGCCGAACAGGAGGUGUGGCUCCCCUCCCUCUCCUCUCCCUCAGCUUUACUCUCCCUCCGCGGCCGGCCGCAACAACAACAACGACGACGACGAUGCCACCGCCGCCUGGAUCCAGGGUGGGAAGGGAGGCCACCAUCGGCCGGAGGGGGAGGCCGGCGGUGCCGCCGGGGGGUUGGGGUGGUGGCGGCGGAUUUCGCUAAAAAUAUUUUUGCAGGCGGGUGUAUCUACCGCCGGCCAAAAUGAUUUUCGUAGGCGGACCGCUUGGCCGCCUGCGAAAGUCAUAUAUUUUCGCAAGCCUUUGCGUACAGGCGGUUCUUUCCCCUGCCUGGAAAAACUAUUUUUGGCCGCCUAGAAAAACGUUUUUUCUAGUAGUGAUUGUUGUCGUCCUCGUCAUCGCCAUCAUUGCUCGAAGCCGCUGCCGUUGUUGUCACCAUCCUUGUCCUCAUCCUCCUCCUCAUCAUCGGGUGUAGGGGCGGGCGGGAUCCGCGCGGGAGAAGAAAGGGGUGCCAGUUCCGCUCCUCACGUUGCCACCGCCACAUCAUAGGGGCUGGAUCCGUCGCUGCCAAGUCUCCACAGUGCCAGAUCCGCCGCCACCAAGCCUCCCCACCGCCGCCACUAAGUCUCUCGACCUGCACCACCUGAUCAUCCCCUCUCGAGGCCAGCCGGCUGUGGAUCCGCGAGGGAGGCAGCGAGGCCCAUCCGCCGUCACCGUCGCUGACCUCCUCCGCCGCCACCGGAUCCGCCCCUAUCGUGGCCAACUGGUUGCAGAUCCAACCUCUUCAUUGACCUGCCGUAUGAAAUAGAAAACACAAUAUAAGACCCAAAAUGCCGAGUAGUGAGCAAAGGAGAUCAUAGAUGAAAUAGCUUGAUAGUCAACUUUAACCUAAGAUUUGCCCGUCAAACCACUGUAACACUGUAAGUAGUGACCGAAUGUGUUAUAUAUGCCAGGGACUUGACUCAAAAUGCUAAAUUUCACGAUCAUCUCAAUUGCUCAAAACCGUUAGUCCGUUACUCAUGAUCAGCUAGCCCAAGGAAGUUACUGGCUUCAUACUUUCGUCUUAGCCAAGAUAUCAAAACUCGUACAACUUAGAAACCACUAGAUACAUAUAGCUAAAUCAUAUAUAUACGGUCGACCAGCCAAUAGUAAAGGUUCAGCAGAAAGUAUGUCUACCUUAGUUAGAACCGUCUUAAUGAUCAACCGUUCUAGCAUCACUCAAACAUAAGCAACAAAUCUAUUCUAUCAAUUAGCAUUUGUGAGUUAUGAAUUUUCCAUGUUCUAUGUUAGUUAUACGUUAUUUAAGUUAAACUUAAUUCUUAGUGUAGUUUAUAUCUAAGUUCAUGUUAACGCCAAAAUUUAGUUAGAUUCUUUAGUGGGUUCGGUUAAGGAAAGAGCACAAUCAGCCGAUGGAAAUCUUAUCCAGAAGAGUCCGAGUUCAAAAAGGAAUCAUGGGGACCAUGACAUGGCAGCUUAAUUUAUCUAUUAAUUAGGCAAGUUUUGAUUUUAGAAAAGUUUGGGUCAUGUCCAAUGAGGACUUUAUAUUUUUCCUUUUAUCUUUAGAAAAGUUUGUUUAGUGUCCGAUCAGGACUCAUAUCUACCCAUGGUUACAAAUAUGUACACUUGGGGUCUCUGUAAAGUAUAUCCAGAUCAAUACAACUUCGGCGCAUAGCCACCCUUUUUAUUUUCGUCUUUGUUGACGAGUUCUUGUUUCGAAUUGGGCUACAUCGGCUUUGAUCUCCGACGAGGAGUAAGGCUUGUUAUGGCUGUUUAUAUUGGCGGGGCUAGGGCCUCGACAUUCUAAUCUUGUCGAUGUAAACACCUAUUUAUAAUAUAUCUCAGUUAAUCUAAGUUGAUGUCUCAAUUUACCUGUAUCGUCUAGAUCUUUAGUAGGGUUUUGUUGGUAUCAGUUAAAUUGUUUUAUCGAUCCAGAUUAGCUAAGGUAUCCACCACCCUGAAAAUCAGUCAAAGACUUGAUUGUUUAGAUUUUAUGUUUCUUUUCAUACUUAGUGCUGCAUCAAUUGAGUUUGACAUACUAAGUCAUGCUUAGAAUCAUAGAAACUAACUUGCCAAUAAGGGUUUCAUCGGGGUUUCACACCCGGAGAUUUCUCCUUUCCCUUAGUUUUUAAUUCUUUAAUAAAUCUCUCGAAGAAAACAUUCUGUCUAACCUGGAGCAAACCUCAAUUUAAUAAUGCACGUUAUAAUCAGAAUUGCCAUGGGAAUGUUUUUUGGUAGGGAUGAAAACGGAUCGAAUACGGUCGGAAACUAGCUCUACCAUAUUCGUUUUCAUAAUUUUUUUUGGAAUCGAAAUCGGAAUCAGAAACCCGGAUAUGAAAACGGAAUCGAAUAUUAUCGAAUACAAAUACGGAGCGAAUACGAAGCGAAACAAAUACGGUGACGAAUAUUAAUCGGAAUAUAAAAACCUCUCACUACUCACAAACGAUUUUUGAUAUUGUGUUUCUAAAAUCAUGCUCUAUCAUGUUAUUGUGUUUUUACCGCUAUUAUUUUGGCAAUUUUUUCGUGACUUUGUUUUAUCAAUUAAAAAUUUGAAUUUCAAAACUUCAAAUGAUAUUUUGAAGCAGUAAAUAAAUUCAGCUAAAAAAGUCAUGAACAUAAAAGUUGUAGAACUCAUCAAGACAUACAACUUUUAUUUUGGUCAUUUCUUCAUCCGACAAAAUGAUAGUAACAUUGUUCACAAAACUUACCUCUCUCAUUUAGUUUGUAAAACUAAAUGAGAGAGAUGUAAAUUUUGUGAACAAUGUUAUUAUCACUUUGUCGGAUGAAGAAAUGACCAAAAUAAAAGUUAGAGAUCUUGAUGAUUUAUAAACUUUGUUGUUGAUGACUUUUUUAGUUGAAAUCAUUUAAUAUUUGAAAAUGUUGUUUGAAGUUAUCAUAUUUUCAAAUUCAAAUUCAAAUUGUUCAAACAAAGUCAUAUAGAAAAAUGAUCAAAAAUAAAAGUUAUAGAUCUUGAUAAGUUAUACAACUUUAUUUUUGACAAUUUUUCCAUUUGAAAUCAUUUACUACCCGAAAUAUUUUUUUGAAUUUCUUACAUUUUAGAAUUCAAAUUUUAUAUAGUUCAAUCAAACUCGGAUGAAGAAAUGACCAAAAUAAAAUUGGUAGAUCUCACUGAGUUCUACAACUUUGCUUUUGACAACUUUUUCAUAUGAGUUCAUUUAGUGUCAUAAAAUUCAAUUCGAAUUUAUUUUUUCCAAGAAGUCUGAUUUGCCUCCUCUUUGGGUUGGGCCGGCUUAUGGGCCUUAUGUGUAAGUCGGAUAUCCGAUGGAAAAUACCGGAUAAUAUCCGAUUCCGACGGAUAUCACCUAUAUCAUAUUCGUUUUCACAUCCGAAAAAAAAUAUCCGAAUUCGUUUCCGAAUUCGAAAAUUUCCGGAUAUAUCCGACCGAAACUAUCCGAAUCCGAAAAAAGAUCCGGUCGGACGGAAAUUAUCCGAAUCACUUUCAACCCUACUAAUAGGAGUUUCAGAUGAAUAUUCAAGGCAGAGGAAGAAACCCCGUUAACCUAAUAAAAAUCAUCAAGGUUCAAUCCAAUUAAUUCAUUGCUCUGCCGGUGGUUCGCCGCACCAUCGUUUCCUUGUUGUUUUUGGCUUCGCCCUGUGUUCACGGGUCGAGUCCUGUCUUAUUCCAAUUCCGUCGCCGUUUUCCUUUCCUUUCCUAAAAUGGCACCGCCUCCUUGUCCUCUCCCUCUACCGCCUCUCCUCCCCCUGCCGCCACCCCAGCCGCGCGCUGCGCCCCACCAAAUCCUACCACCACCCUAGCUGCCCCUCUCCACCUCUCCCAUGCCGUGCCGCCGUCUCCCCGCCACCGGAUCGCUGCAGCCAUCAUCGUCUCCCGUGAGCCCUCUCCUUCCCCUUAUCCCUCGCCGAUAUGGUUCACCGUCGAGUUACCUCAUCUAAUCUAAAAUAUCCAUGUUUCCCUAGUUGUCGUCAUCGCCGUCCGUGUGUUCCCGCCGGAUCGCCGCCAUCGUCGCUCCUCCACCGGUCGCCGUUGUUUCCAGGUGAGGUAUCCUUUUGUUUCACCUCUUUGUUUUGUGUGUCGCCGUCACGGUACCGCCAUUGCCGGCGCUUGCCGAGCCACCGCGCCACUGCGGCCGCCUUGCUGCGCCGCUGCCCUAGCGUCGCCUCCGCCGCCGCUGCCUUGCCGCGCCUGCCGUGUCGCGCCGCCUGACCGCGCCGUGCCACCACUGCCCUAGCCGCAGCCGGCCGCAGCCCUUGCCGCCUGCCGCGUCCGCUGUCGCUGCCGACCAUCUUGCCGUCGCGUGCCGGCCCAUAUCGGCGAGGCGGCCUUGCCUCGCCGUGCCACGUCUUGCCGCAUGCCAUGUAGUGUAUUGCUGUGUCAUCCCAGUUCGGUCAAGCCGAGUCGGUAAAACCCUAGAGUCCUUCGGUUGGUUCCGUGACCCACCCAAGCCGCCGGUUUUGUUCACUGGUUCGGUGGAUCGUUUGUGUGGUCCUGUGCCACGGUAGGUCGAUUCGUUGAGUCGUUGCUCCGUGGGGCUCAUCUACCGGGGUUCUAUUCCGUUAAUCUUGUCUGCACUCGGGCAUUAAUGUUUAAUAAUGGAAUAAGGUUACCGGUUAAUAGUAAUUACACAGUGCAUAUUGUAAAAUUCAUAUCUAAAUCAUUCGUGCUCCGUUUUAAUCCAUUCAAGUCUCAGUAAAUUCAUAAAAAUGUCUAGAAUCCAUUAAAAUGGUUCCUUUUGUUGUUUCAGUUGAUUUAUAGCAUGUUUGCUUGUGUGCCUUGUUUGUCGUAUAGAAUCCAACUGUUCUGACGCUCCCGUUUACUUCAGAGUGGUCACCGAAGUCCCGUCAGCUGAGGAGCAAAGCAAGUCAUACAUACAACAUUGAUCAUACUGAACCCUCUUUAUAAAAUCCCUUGCUUUCUAUUAAACUGCAUUGUUUUUAUAAUGUCGUGUGGGAUGGAUGCCUAUUGUACUCAGCCUAUUGUUGCCUUAUGCCUUGAUAACCUGGGUAAUGAAUUGAUUAGAUGAUUGGUUUAGGUGAUGCUUAGCCAUGCUUAGAUCAAUUAGCACACUAUGGGUUUCAUCUUAAUUUAGUCCUUAAUUUAAUGAUAUUGUACCAUCAUGGUAUUAAUUUAAUUAAACUAAAAUAUGCUUAAAUGGUGGGUCGUGGGUGCAUGGUUUUGCUAGUCACACCCAUGACAAUUAAGGACCGGUUCUCGGGAAACCCUGGAAGAAUUACCCGUACUUACCACAGGCCAGCGUGGGCUCCAGGCUGAAUUUGGAGCAUAGCUUAACCUAGCCAAUGUACCAAGGCAAGGGUGGGCGUGAUGGAGUAGGACGGAUCGUGCUACGGUCUUUGUUGCUUCCAGAUUCACCUAGGCACAAGAGGGGACUGUCCGCUGCCUAUUGAGGAGUGGGGGGUGAAACUUGAGGUGCGUACGAUUGGUUAGCGAGAGUUAUGUGAAGGGUUCUAUCAUAGUCUCUUUUCGAGAUACCGUGGUGGUAUUGAGGCGCAUGGUAACAUGUUGUGAGGCUGUGUCUUGUGGGUAAAGUUGCACACCUCUGAUCAGAGUAAAACUAUUCGAAUAGCCGCACCCGUGGUUAUGGACUGUCAACCAGAUUCACCGUGAUUAGUCUCAUCUUAAUAAAUGGAUGUGUUGAACUGAUUUAGUUCAGGUGGUUUGGUUGGGCCUGUUUCAACGUGGUUAAACGUUGGGCUGUGAUGUUAACAUUGAUUAAGCUAUAUCUACUUUUUACUAUGUUCAACUGGUGAUUUUAAAAUGCUUGCUUUUAUGCAAAUAUCCUAUAGCCUUUCCUUUGCUUUUACCUUGCAUCAUGCCUUCCUAUUGGUAUGACUUAUUGAGUACGGUGGGUGGUACUCAGUCUUGCUUUAUUUUUCCCCCAACCCUCAGAAGCAGAGAAUUAUUCAGAUCGAGAUUAUUUUGAGGAUUAGGCUUAUUCCGGAUAUUGAGGAUGCCUGUGGUUAUGGAGGAUGCUACGCUAUCAAGAAGAUCUUAGUUUAGAUUAUUCGAUAAUUUAUUUCCGCUGUAUAUGUAAGAAUCAUUUAUUAUUUUUUGUAAGACGUGGAUCUGUGUAUCAAUUUAUCGUUUGUGUACUCAGGCUGGUCUUGGACAAAGAAUUUAACACACAUUCUGCUUGAGAUUCGGGUUAGCGAAUUUCUAGGCGUGAUAGGGUUUCAGCCAACGAGUUAUCUGAAUGUUACGUCGGCUUACAAGGAUUAUAUACAAGUUGGUUUUAGCCGAUUGCAAUAAUGGUUUCACUGAUUAUCUAAUCAUGUGGAUUUAAUGACAUCGGAACACCAACCAACCGAUAUAUGCUUAACCUUCGGAUCAAGCAAUUAUUCUAUCAUAUCAUUAUUGAUUGAUUGGUUUUUAUUGGAUUAUAUUAUUAUUUUAUAACAUUAUCAUCAACCAAUUGUCUUUUUAUCAUUAUUUACUUAAGUGUUAGAAUCUACAUUGGAUAUAUAGCUGAUUGCUCAAAACUCUAUCGACAUCAGCUAGCAUUGCUAUAUCAGCUUAUUGCCUGAUCGGCUCUUAUUUGUACAUAUUGUCAGUUGCAGAAUCAGAUUGACCCGCACGUCCACAUCUCAUCAAUAUUUUGGACCUGCACUGGAGUAAGCAGAUCAACCAGGCCGUUGUGUUCGUCGACUUAGUCCGUGCCAACACAAAUCUGGUACCAUCGGCCGAGCACGGAUUUUGCGUCAAUAGUUUUUGAAGAUUUGGGGUACAGCAAUAAAGUGUGUGUUCUACUAAAUUCAACCAAGUUGAGUUUUCCAUUUUUAGACCUAGUAUCAAUUUCAUCAACGAUCAAUGAGCAGUACGGGGCCUAAACUCGUCACAAAUGUCAAGGAUACAUCAUUGCUAUAGAUAUUUCCAGUGUAAAACGUUAUCGGUCAAAAAUGAUAGUGGAAGUCUUGUACUUCCCGAUUUCGUACGAAUUUGAGGCAAACAUAUGUGUUGACUAAUAUAAUGGAAUGGACUUCCAUUGUCG